rnacentral:rRNA from 1 species
AUCUAAGGAAGGCAGCAGGCGCGCAAAUUACCCAAUCCUAAUACAGGGAGGUAGUGACAAGAAACAACAAUACAGGACUUUACGGUUUUGUAAUUGGAAUGAGUUAAGUAUAAACCCCUUUACAAGUAUCAAUUGGAGGGCAAGUCUGGUGCCAGCAGCCGCGGUAAUUCCAGCUCCAAUAGCGUAUAUUAAAGUUGUUGCAGUUAAAAAGCUCGUAGUUGGAUUUCUGUUAAUACCUUAUAUAUAAUAUUUUUUUUUAAAUAUUAUUAUGUAAGAUUAACAUAAUUCAUAUUUUUAAGACUGAAUUUUUAGUUUUGAUAAUAUGAAAUUUUACUUUGAGAAAAUUAGAGUGCUUAAAGCAGGCUUUUGCCUUGAAUACUCCAGCAUGGAAUAAUAAUAAAAGAUUUUUAUCUUUUUUUUAUUGGUUCUAAGAUAAAAAUAAUGAUUAAUAGGGACAGUUGGGGGCAUUUGUAUUUAACAGUCAGAGGUGAUAUUCUUAGAUUUGUUAAAGACAAACUAAUGCGAAAGCAUUUGCCAAG